GUCUGGUGCCAGCAGCCGCGGUAAAACCAGCACCUCAAGUGGUCAGGAUGAUUAUUGGGCCUAAAGCAUCCGUAGCCGGAUCUGUAAGUUUUCGGUUAAAUCUGUACGCUUAACGUACAGGCUGCCGGGAAUACUGCAGAUCUAGGGAGUGGGAGAGGUAGACGGUACUCGGUAGGAAGGGGUAAAAUCCUUUGAUCUAUUGAUGACCACCUGUGGCGAAGGCGGUCUACCAGAACACGUCCGACGGUGAGGGAUGAAAGCUGGGGGAGCAAACCGGAUUAGAUACCCGGGUAGUCCCAGCUGUAAACUAUGCAAACUCAGUGAUGCAUUGACUUGUGGUCAAUGCAGUGCUGCAGGGAAGCCGUUAAGUUUGCCGCCUGGGAAGUACGUACGCAAGUAUGAAACUUAAAGGAAUUGGCGGGGGAGCACCACAAGGGGUGAAGCCUGCGGUUCAAUUGGAGUCAACGCCAGAAAUCUUACCCGGAGAGACAGCAGAAUGAAGGUCAAGCUGAAGACUUUACCAGACAAGCUGAGAGGUGGUGCAUGGCCGUUCUU
rnacentral:rRNA from 1 species